GUUUAAAUAAUUUAAAAAUAAAAUAUUGAUUUGUGGAGUCAAAAAUGUUUGUGAAUAAACUUUAAAUA
rnacentral:tRNA from 1 species